rnacentral:rRNA from 1 species
UUCUUGCGGGGAGAGAGAAAAAGGCACCUCUCGUGCUAUGUAAAUCGGCAUUUUACCAGGGAGCAAGAAAAGAACUUUGGUUAUAACUCUGUGAUCCAGGCACCAUCCCCAAAGGAUAUUACGCGCCACGCCUAAAUUUCAUCACGACCGAGCACGAUUGUAUUAGUAUGGGUCACAACCGUAUAUCGGUAGAUUCUAGGGGUGUAACAGGUGGGCCAGGCCGAGUUUAUCCAACCCUAGAGGAAUACACCCGAGCCCAACAACGGGAGAUCCCUUUUGGAUACCAUACAUAGUACCACGGUAGAGGGGACAGGAAUUCCAGAUGUAACACAGUAAAGGCGGGGAUUAUACGAGGGAACCACGAGAGGGGAAGCCAUUCCCCCUGAACCAGAUAUGACCACUCACACAAGAAAGGGGGGGGGAGCAAACAAGAAUUAGAUAACCGGGUAAUAUCCGCACUAAACGAAGUCCAACUGGAUGUUGGGAGGGGUUUUUCUCAGUAACGCAGAUCACGCGUGAAGUCGACCCGCCUGGGGAGUACGGCCGCAAGGUUAUAACUCUAAAGAAUUGACGGGGACCCGCACAAGCGGAUGGAAGAUGUGGUUUAAUUUGAAGCAACACGAAAAACCUUACCUACCCUCGACAUGUCUGGAAUCCUGAAGAGAUUCGGGAGUGCUCGAAAGAGAGCCAGAACACAGGUGCUGCAUGGCCGUCGUCAGCUCGUGUCGUGAGAUGUUGGGUUAAGUCCCGCAACGAGCGCAACCCUUGUCAUUAGUUGCUACGAAAGGGCACUCUAAUGAGACUGCCGGUGACAAACCGGAGGAAGGUGGGGAUGACGUCAGGUCAUCAUGGCCCUUAUGGGUAGGGCUACACACGUCAUACAAUGGCCGGGACAGAGGGCUGCCAACCCGCGAGGGGGAGCUAAUCCCAGAAACCCGGUCGUAGUCCGGAUCGUAGUCUGCAACUCGACUGCGUGAAGUCGGAAUCGCUAGUAAUCGCGGAUCAGCUUGCCGCGGUGAAUACGUUCCCGGGUCUUGUACACACCGCCCGUCACACCAUGGGAGCGGGUUCUGCCAGAAGUAGUUAGCCUAACCGCAAGGGGGGCGAUUACCACGGCAGGGUUCGUGACUGGGGUGAAGUGGGUAACAAGGU